GCUCUUUCAUAUUUGGUUUUGUGCCUUGUGAGUGCUCAUGAGCUAAUGAGGACACAUCCUGAUUUGAGUCCUGACUUGAGAUGUUUUUCUGGUUAUUCAUUGAAUGAUUUAUCCCCUUUCAGUCUGAAUCACUUCCUCUUCGUGUCGCAGGGAUCCCAUGCUACCAGGAAUUGCUGGGUUAAGAUGAUCCUGGACUCUUAAAAAUUCUGGGAAACAUCCAUAGAAGCUUGGUUUUUUCCAUCUUCUGUCUUGGGCUCAUUCCAACUUCGCUACAAUCUACUUGCCCAUUUACCUUUGGAAGCUUCCAUGUUCUGGAUCAUGAAUGCUAUCAACAUCCACAGAGUUCGUGGGGGAGUCAUGUCAAUAAGAUACAUGUGUAUAGUGGCCACCUCCUCCCACAAGAACAGCCAAGCAAAGAACCAACUGUCACAUUCGGACAAAACAACUAAAGGACAGUACCCAUGAACAUCAGAGGACUGGAACCACCUUGGACUCUUACAGGCUGGUCAAUAAGGGAACCUCUGUAGCCCUCAUAGGCAGUUGGCCCAGCAGAGAAAGCUGCCUGGGAUCUAACAGAUCCACUGUCUCCAAAGGAGGAGUUGGUGGUGUGCCCUGCAUCCCAUGGACAGUGUGGUUACAAUUCGGUGGCACCUUGGAACCAGAGCCCUAUUCUGGAGAUAGGAAUGAUGGCAUACCUCCACCUCUGAGAAUUCAUCACUAUAGAAACAACCCCACCUGGUGGCCACCAUUCCUGCCACCAAACCACUACUUCACCAUAUUGCUUGUUGCUAAACUGCAUAGUCACUGCACUCCCAGCUGCUGUCACUCUUCGCCCGCCUUAGAUACAGUGGUGCCGAGCACCAAAAGUCUCCAACUGUAAAAUGGACUAACUCGAUUCUGUGUAAUUCUGCCGAAGUUCCUUCAUCUAGUUGAAUGCCCUACUGCUAAGCAACUAUGUAUGAAUUGUUAUGUAUUCUUCAUGAACUGACCCCCUUGUCAUUGUUCAAUUCUGUCUUCACACCUAACUUGCCUUACUCAGAACUUGCCUUGUCUGAAAUUAAUACAGAGGUGUAGAAGUUUGCUUAAAAAUUUUAUCUCCUCUAGAGAUACACAACUGACCACUGGGCAGAGCUCCUGAAAUCCAGUCCAAGAGAGGGAGGAGUGAUAACAGGAGCAAAGAGGUCAAGACCAUGUUGGGGAAAUCCACAGAAACAGCUGACCUGAGCUGGUGGGAGUUCAAUGACUCUGGACUGACAGCUGGGGAACCUGCAGAGGCUGACUUACUCUUGAAUACUGUGGUGGUUUAAAAGAAAAUGUCCCCCAAAGGAAGUGGCACUAAUGGGAGGUGUGGCCUUGUUGUAGUAGGUGUGGCCUUACUGGAGGAAGU